rnacentral:piRNA from 1 species
UACUACUCAGGAAAAAAAGAACC